CCUACGGGAGGCAGCAGUGGGGAAUAUUGCGCAAUGGGCGAAAGCCUGACGCAGCGACGCCGCGUGAGGGAUGAAGGUCUUCGGAUCGUAAACCUCUGUCAGCAGGGAAGAACGGUCACUGUGCUAAUCAGCAGUGAAUUGACGGUACCUGCAAAGGAAGCACCGGCUAACUCCGUGCCAGCAGCCGCGGUAAUACGGAGGGUGCGAGCGUUAAUCGGAAUUACUGGGCGUAAAGCGCUCGUAGGCGGUAUGUCAAGUCAAGGGUGAAAUCCCCGCGCUCAACGUGGGAACUGCCUUUGAAACUGGCAAACUGGAGUGUGUGAGAGGAUAGUGGAAUUCCAGGUGUAGGAGUGAAAUGCGUAGAGAUCUGGAGGAACAUCAGUGGCGAAGGCGACUAUCUGGCACAUAACUGACGCUGAGGAGCGAAAGCGUGGGUAGCAAACAGGAUUAGAUACCCGUGUAGUC
rnacentral:rRNA from 1 species